CAACUAUUAACGGUCAUCGAU
rnacentral:misc_RNA from 1 species